UGAUGCGUGGAGAAUUGUCACGAGUAUGAUUGUAAUUAUUGUGCGUAUGCGUCGAUUCAAGUGGGGAUUUCUUGAAUUUUCUUGAGUGAUAUGGCCUCGUGAAUUAGAGAAAUCCCUCACUUCCGUUUGCUGUUCGUAUUCAUCGCCAUAUUGUAAGCGUGCUGCCAGCGACCUUAUAGUAUGGUGCUUCUGCAUAAUGGGAUGAGUGUGGAUUAAGUGGAUUAAUACAGCGACCGUCACCACGUGGCUUUUGUAACGACGACUGGAACUAUCUUUUGUCUUCGAUCGUUCCUAUUCAAAACUAUGCCAAGCCGAAUAAUAUAUUGAAGUUAAAAAUAAUUGGGCUCUUCACGUCGUGGUUUGUACGAGUCAAUCAAACUGCAUUUUGCAAUCUCCACUUCACUAUUUCAACGAAAGCAACGGAAGCUAAGUUUUUGUAUUUUCUUGAUUUAUUUUGUCUUAUGAAUGUGUAUUUGUCUGAAUGUAUAUUCAAAUCUUU